rnacentral:rRNA from 1 species
GUCGCAGUAACCAGGCCGCUGCGACUGUUUAUCAAAAACACAGCACUCUGCAAACACGAAAGUGGACGUAUAGGGUGUGACGCCUGCCCGGUGCUGGAAGGUUAAUUGAUGGGGUCAGCCGCAAGGCGAAGCUCUUGAUCGAAGCCCCAGUAAACGGCGGCCGUAACUAUAACGGUCCUAAGGUAGCGAAAUUCCUUGUCGGGUAAGUUCCGACCUGCACGAAUGGCGUAACGACAGCGGCGCUGUCUCCACCCGAGACUCAGUGAAAUUGAAAUCGCUGUGAAGAUGCAGCGUUCCCGUGGCAAGACGGAAAGACCCCGUGAACCUUUACUAUAGCUUUACACUGAACGUUGAGUUCGUCUGUGUAGGAUAGGUGGGAGGCUAUGAAACUGUGGCGCUAGCUGCAGUGGAGCCAUCCUUGAAAUACCACCCUGUCGUGCUUGACGUUCUAACCUGGGCCCAUUAUCUGGGUCGGGGACCGUGUAUGGUGGGUAGUUUGACUGGGGCGGUCUCCUCCUAAAGAGUAACGGAGGAGCUCGAAGGUACGCUCAGCGCGGUCGGACAUCGCGCACUGUGUGCAAAGGCAUAAGCGUGCUUGACUGCAAGAUCGACGGAUCAAGCAGGUAGGAAACUAGGACUUAGUGAUCCGGUGGUUCUGUAUGGAAGGGCCAUCGCUCAACGGAUAAAAGGUACUCCGGGGAUAACAGGCUGAUACCGCCCAAGAGUUCAUAUCGACGGCGGUGUUUGGCACCUCGAUGUCGGCUCAUCACAUCCUGGGGCUGUAGUCGGUCCCAAGGGUAUGGCUGUUCGCCAUUUAAAGUGGUACGCGAGCUGGGUUCAGAACGUCGUGAGACAGUUCGGUCCCUAUCUGCCAUGGGCGUUGGAGAUUUGAGAGGGGCUGCUCCUAGUACGAGAGGACCGGAGUGGACGAACCUCUGGUGUUCCGGUUGUCACGCCAGUGGCAUUGCCGGGUAGCUAUGUUCGGAAGCGAUAACCGCUGAAAGCAUCUAAGCGGGAAGCGCGCCUCAAGAUGAGAUCUCCCGGGGCACAAGCCCCCUGAAGGAACCAUGUAGACUACGUGGUUGAUAGGUCAGGUGUGUAAGUACAGCAAUGUAUUGAGCUAACUGAUACUAAUGAUCCGAGAGGCUUGACCAU